GCAUAACGCGAAGAACCUUACCAGGCCUUGACAUGCAGAGAACUUUCCAGAGAUGGAUUGGUGCCUUCGGGAACUCUGACACAGGUGCUGCAUGGCUGUCGUCAGCUCGUGUCGUGAGAUGUUGGGUUAAGUCCCGUAACGAGCGCAACCCUUGUCCUUAGUUACCAGCACGUUAUGGUGGGCACUCUAAGGAGACUGCCGGUGACAAACCGGAGGAAGGUGGGGAUGACGUCAAGCCAUCAUGGCCCUUACGGCCUGGGCUACACACGUGCUACAAUGGUCGGUACAGAGGGUUGCCAAGCCGCGAGGUGGAGCUAAUCUCACAAAACCGAUCGUAGUCCGGAUCGCAGUCUGCAACUCGACUGCGUGAAGUCGGAAUCGCUAGUAAUCGCGAAUCAGAAUGUCGCGGUGAAUACGUUCCCGGGUCUUGUACACACCG
rnacentral:rRNA from 1 species